rfam:Triticum aestivum genome assembly, contig: Triticum_aestivum_CS42_TGACv1_scaffold_199816_3AL
UAGAUUUUCUACAAAGUCAAACUUUAUAAACUUUGACCAAGUUUAUAGAGAAAACUAUUUAUAUCUACAAUACCAAAUGUAUAUAAUAUGAAAGUAUGUGUUGUGAUGUAUCUAAGCACACGUAUUUGGUAUUCUAGAUGUAUAUGAUUUUCUCUACAAAUUUGGUCAAAGUUUAUAAAGUUUGACUUCUAGAAAAAUCUA